UUACGGUCAAAUCACGCUGAAAACACCGGUUCUCGUUCGAUCACCGAAGUUAAGCAACAUAGAGCCAGGUCAGUACUUAGAUGAGGGGACCGCUUGGGAACACCUGGUACUGUAAG